rnacentral:rRNA from 1 species
GGGUGAGUAACACGUGGGUUACCUGCCCCGAUGAUUGGGACAACCCGAGGAAACUCGGGCUAAUACCAAAUGUGCUCCUGGCCGUAAUGGCCUUGAGGAAAGGAAGCUUCGGCCUCCGCAUCGGGAUGGGCCCGCGGCCCAUUAGCUUGUUGGUGGGGUAAUGGCCUACCAAGGCGACGAUGGGUAGCUGGUCUGAGAGGACGAUCAGCCACACUGGGACUGAGACACGGUCCAG